CUGAGAGACGUGCCUUGUCGGGCUGAGGACGUGACCGUCCACGUAAAGGCUCAGGCUCUCUUCCCCCCUGCCUCACCGGUGUGGGAAGUGGGUGCUCUCCGGACAGUGCUGGACCUCUGACCCCAGGGGCCAUUCUUGGCCGCAUCGAACAGACUCAAACACAAGUAAGGCCACAGUGGACACCCGCGGGUCUGACGUUGCAUAAGGAGCCACAUUUAUUUCUUAAUUGGACAGAUUCUUAAGUGCACACACACAGUACAGGAGCCUAGAGCCUAACACUCAGGUUUAGGACGUCAGGGAACUCGAGUCGUUACGUCGGGAUGGUGGUUACAGUGCAGGGGCCAGGGUGUGCCACACAACCACAUAUGUACAAGCUACGGGGGGACGCGGGGGGGACGGCCAGCUGCGGGAAGCACCGGCCUGGAAGAAGUCAUAGACUCUGCUGAUCCCUGGGGGCACUUCCCGGCCCCCGGGGUAAAAGGAGGGCGCCUUCCGGGGUCCCGCACCGGAGGGGGCGGACGGAGGACCAGCACUGCGAUCCGCUGACGCCCGAACCACCAGCGACAUUCAGGAACUCUCCCCGAGUGCUUCGCCACGCCCGCCCGACAGGUGCGGAGGGGGAACCGGGACGGAGGGGGAGGCUGCCUCCCUGCAGCCACCCGGGGCGUGUGUGUGGUGUGUGUGAUCGGUGACCGAAACGUUGGCAUCUUAGGAGUGAUUACUCGGAACACGGAGGCCUUGGAACUUGGGAACACGUCAACACCCCUGGGCACCAGCUGGGUCACACUGCAGCCUGGAGCCCAGCGCCCCCCUU